CGUGAGAUGUUGGGUUAAGUCCCGUAACGAGCGCAACCCUUGUCCCUAGUUGCCAGCACAUAAUGGUGGGAACUCUAGGGAGACUGCCGGUGACAAACCGGAGGAAGGUGGGGAUGACGUCAAGUCAUCAUGGCCCUUACGGGCUGGGCUACACACGUGCUACAAUGGUAAUUACAGAAGGAAGCAAAUAUGAAAAUUGGAGCAAAUCCCCAAAAAUUAUCGUAGUUCGGAUUAUAGACUGCAAUUCGUCUAUAUGAAGUUGGAAUCGUAAGUAAUUGCGAAUCAGAAUGUCGCGGUGAAUACGUUCCCGGGCCUUGUACACACCG
rnacentral:rRNA from 1 species